AUUGAACGCUGGCGGCAGGCCUAACACAUGCAAGUCGAACGAGUGGCGGACGGGGGAGUAAUGUCUGGGAAACUGCCUGAUGGAGGGGGAUAACUACUGGAAAAGGUAGCUAAUACCGCAUACCAUCGGAUGUGCCCAGAUGGAAUUAGCUGGUGGGGGGGGUAACGGCUCACCAAGGCGACGCGCCCUAGCUGGUCUGAGAGGAUGACCAGCCACACUGGAACUGAGACACGGGCCAGACUCCUACGGGAGGCAGCAGUGGGGAAUAUUGCACAAGGGGCGCAAGCCUGAUGCAGCCAUGCCGCGUGUAUGAAGAAGGCCUGCGGGUUGUAAAGUACUUUCAGCGGGGAGGCGUUACCCGCAGAAGAAGCACCGGCUAACUCCGUGCCAGCAGCCGCGGUAAUUC
rnacentral:rRNA from 1 species